UCCUCCCCCGAGUCUGUGUGUCACUU
rnacentral:piRNA from 1 species